rnacentral:rRNA from 1 species
CCCUUAGAUGUCCGGGGCUGCACGCGCGCUACACUGGAUGAAUCAGCGUGCUAGAAAACCUUGUUUGACAUGGCUAGGUAACCCAUUGAAAAUCAUUCGUGAUUGGGAUCGGGACUUGCAAAUGUGUCCCUUGAACGAGGAAUUCCCAGUAAGCGCGAGUCAUCAGCUCGCGUUGACUACGUCCCUGCCCUUUGUACACACCGCCCGUCGCUCCUACCGAUUGAAUGGUCCGGUGAAGUGCUCGGAUCGUGGCGACGUGGGUGGUCUGCCGCUGACGACGCUGCGAGAAGUCCAUUGAACCUUAUCAUUUAGAGGAAGGAGAAGUCGUAACA